AUUGAACGCUGGCGGCAGGCCUAACACAUGCAAGUCGAAUGGUAACAGGAAACAGCUUGCUGUUUCGCUGACGAGUGGCGGACGGGUGAGUAAUGUCUGGGAAACUGCCUGAUGGAGGGGGAUAACUACUGGAAACGGUAGCUAAUACCGCAUAACGUCGCAAGACCAAAGAGGGGGACCUUCGGGCCUCUUGCCAUCAGAUGUGCCCAGAUGGGAUUAGCUAGUAGGUGGGGUAACGGCUCACCUAGGCGACGAUCCCUAGCUGGUCUGAGAGGAUGACCAGCCACACUGGAACUGAGACACGGUCCAGACUCCUACGGGAGGCAGCAGUGGGGAAUAUUGCACAAUGGGCGCAAGCCUGAUGCAGCCAUGCCGCGUGUAUGAAGAAGGCCUUCGGGUUGUAAAGUACUUUCAGCAGGGAGGAAGGGAGUAAAGUUAAUACCUUUGCUCAUUGACGUUACCCGCAGAAGAAGCACCGGCUAACUCCGUG
rnacentral:rRNA from 1 species